rnacentral:rRNA from 1 species
UACGUAGGGGGCAAGCGUUGUCCGGAAUCAUUGGGCGUAAAGAGCGUGUAGGCGGCCCGAUAAGUCCGCUGUGAAAGUCCAGGGCUCAACCCUGGAAUGCCGGUGGAUACUGUCGGGCUCGAAUCCGGAAGAGGUGAGUGGAAUUCCUGGUGUAGCGGUGAAAUGCGCAGAUAUCGGGAAGAACACCUAUGGCGAAGGCAGCUCUCUGGGACGGUACUGACGCUGAGACGCGAAAGCGUGGGGAGCGAACAGG